rnacentral:rRNA from 1 species
CCUACGGGGUGCAGCAGUCGAGAAUCAUUCACAAUGGGGGAAACCCUGAUGGUGCGACGCCGCGUGGGGGAAUGAAGGUCUUCGGAUUGUAAACCCCUGUCAUGUGGGAGCAAAUUAAAAAGAUAGUACCACAAGAGGAAGAGACGGCUAACUCUGUGCCAGCAGCCGCGGUAAUACAGAGGUCUCAAGCGUUGUUCGGAAUCACUGGGCGUAAAGCGUGCGUAGGCUGUUUCGUAAGUCGUGUGUGAAAGGCGCGGGCUCAACCCGCGGACGGCACAUGAUACUGCGAGACGAGAGGAAUGGAGGGGGAACCGGAAUUCUCGGUGUAGCAGUGAAAUGCGUAGAUAUCGAGAGGAACACUCGUGGCGAAGGCGGGUUCCUGGACAUUAACUGACGCUGAGGCACGAAGGCCAGGGGAGCGAAAGGGAUUAGAUACCCUAGUAGUC